UCUUAUUAUCUCUUCGAUUCCUCUUCGCCCUAAACUCUCCCACCUUCGCGCACGCACACACACACCACUUCUCUUCUCGUUAAAUCCCCCGCCAAACUAUAUAUAUCUAUAACUCCCGCCCUUUUUCAAACCCCCUCAUGGCCGCCCAACCCUCUCCCAAGAAGCGCCCGAGGCCUCCCGCCGACGACCAUGACCUCAAGAAGGUAGCUGAGAUCGUCAUGGUGCUCUCCGCCAUGGCUGACAUGCGCGCUGGUGCUCCCCCCACCUCUGUGGAGAAGUCCCUAAUCGCUGAGGCCCGGGAGAAGCUUGUUAAGGCUUGCGAGGAUGCCCGGCCCCGGGAUUUGUUCUCCAGAGAGGCGGUUAGGGUUUUGGUUGAGGAUCUUGGGCUUAAUCGCUCGAGGGAUCCUUUGUUGGGAUUUCGGCCACCCAAGAUGUCUGUUGCUGAGAAGCUUUUGCUUACUAAGAGAAAGAUGGAGGAAUCUAAGGAAGUGGUGUCACAUUCGUCAGCCAACGCAACUCAAUUUCAGCCAAUAAGCUUUCAUGCUAGCUCUGAUGGCAAUAAUUCUCUAUUUCAUGGAGCUCCUAGGUUUUUACCAGAUAAACCAAGCCCCUUGCCAUAUCAUGCUGGAGGUGUUCAGACUGCUUCACCCAUGGUGGCUGUUCCAACAGUAGGUUCUGCAAGCUCAUCAUCAAAGCUACUGCAAAUGUCUGCAACGCAUCCUGUUAUUACUUCUGCAAAGUUGGCAACUAGUUCAACUCCUUUUGCCACAACAUCUCAUGCAGAAGUAACACACUUUAGAUUGGGUCCUCGAUCUAAUGGCUCACCAUAUUUAACUCGUGUUCGAGCUACCACUGAUUGCCUGCCAGAGAAAUCAUCAACCUUAUCAGCUCAUUCAGCGCCCAAUCCUGCACUGAGAUUUGGGCAGACAAAUAAGUUCCAGGAUGCUAGUACAGUAAAACAGGAAGCUGUUCAUGAAGUUAAUGGCAUCCAGACUUCUGUUCCUGUUAUUGCAGAUCAGGAUUUCAAAGGUUCUACAGUGCAAGCUACACCAGGAAACCUUUUCAUGGGACACCAUUCUGGUUUAACUUAUGUGCAUCCUCCUUCUGGGUUCCCCAGCCAUAAUGAUAUUGCUCAAAUUGUCCAAAGGACGCUGCAGAAUAAGACAUCUGAGCAUUCUAACUGGACACCUCCAUCAACUGAAUAUGUAAAUAAGGGUCUGUCUUGUCAGAUAUGCAAGGUUGCAAUUUCUGAUGUAGAAAGUCUGCUUGUCUGUGAUUCUUGUGAGAAAGGAACCCACUUGAAAUGCCUUCAGUCCUAUGGUAACAAAGGCAUGUCCAAGCUUGAGUGGCACUGCCCAAAAUGCUUGAUAUCAAGCAACGGGAAGCCAUUGCCACCUAAAUAUGGCCGAGUUACGAGAAGCCCUGCUCCUGCUGUAUCAAAGGAUCCAUCCAGCAUAAGUGGCACUCAGGCUUCUACAGAAACAAAGCCUGAAACCCCAGACUCAAAAACAAACCAUCAAAUCCCCAAUGGAAAUUCUAGUUUUCUUGUUCAUGCUUCAACAACGGGUGGUAAUGUUGGUGAUGCUGUCCCAAAUUUGAAGACGGAUGAAACAAAAGAGAUGCAAGAUAUGGGUUUUACCAUCAGAACAAAGAUGGAAGAUGAGAUGUGCAUUGGGGCAACCAGUGAUCAUUCAAAAGAAGUUGCUGGAAAGGGAUGUGUUAAUCUGGGCCCAGAUAGCACAUGUCCUGAUGAGAACAUUGAGACUACCUCGUCAUCUCCAAGCAAAACGCAGAAACCAAAUUCUGAAUCUAUGUUGCCGAUGAAGGGUGAAGAUUCUUCAAACCCACACGAUGAGAUCAUCGAACCUGAUGAUAUUAAGUGCGCAUCUAACUCAAAUGGCAUUGCUAGCCAAUCUCUUGCAGUGUGUGAUUCACAAGUUGAUAAUAAAUUAGAUGCGCCAAUCAAUUUUGAAGGAUCUGUAGAUCUUCUACAUGAAUCCAGCAAAGCAAACAUAGACGAAUCGGAGAAGCCAUCUAAGUCAAGUGAAUUAUCGAUAGUUAAUGCAGAUUCUGAAAAGAGUAAAGACGAGGUAGAUGCUAAUAAGGAGACUCCAAGUGGAGCAUUGAGCAAUGGUGAUGUGAUUGGAGUCUGUGUCACACCUGUAUCAGGUCCUUCCAUAAUGGAUUGGGUUGGCGAUAUUCUUGAAGUUGCUGAAGAGAAAAAUUACUAUCAGGCUUGCCUUAUCAAAGGCGCAGUUCACAAGCUCCAAGAUCAUGUCAUGGUUUCUUCCAACAGUCAAAAAGCUUAUCCUUCAAAGAUUCAGAAUUUGUGGGAAGACAAUAAAGCUGGAUUGAAAUUGGCCAUUGUCAUUCCAUACUAUUUCCCAGCAGACAUUCCAGAGGCUGUCGGUUGUCCAUCAAUCCCCGUAGACCGUGAGGUAAGGUCUAUGCUUCAAAUAAGGAAAACACCAUAAUGGUCCAGGAGAUUCUUGGUACUUGUGAGGUUCUACCUUUGCACAAGUUUAAAGAAGAAUGCAGCAAUAGCAGCAAUUUGCAAGCUACAGAUAAUUCUUCACAUCCCAUUUUCUUCUGCAAAUGGACAUACGAUGAAUCAAAAGGCAUGUUUUAUUCCCACGACAGUUAAUCCUCAUUCACUAUAAAAAUUCGGCAGCCUGCCUUCACAUUUGCAGCUGGCUAUUCUUUUCAUGAUGCCUAUCAAAAUAACAUGUGCUUCACAUAUAUGCUGUCCUUGGUAUAAUUUCACUCAAAUGAAAAGAGUCAUCUCAUAUCGCCAUCUUUGUCCAUGUGUUUGAUCCUGCUUUGGUGAAGUUUUGCAUGCUUAUUCUUCGGAUGAGAAAGUUAAUCAAUUCACUUGGUUCAUUCUUGGCUUUAUCAAUUUCAAACGGGAAUCUCGGGGCUUGAAAUCCAUGACUUAUUAUGAGAAGCAAACAAGAUUAUUUUCUUCAACAUUGUUGUACACUAAGCAUACAUCUUUUCAAGUUUAUUCCCUUUCUUAUAGUUUCAAGUUUUUCUAGGAUCAUUUGAUAACAUUUCACUGAGUGUAAAGUUGAUGGAUGCAACAUCUUUCAGAGUUGUUCCUGUAUUUUCUUCUAUUGUUCUUUAUAAGCUGACACUUUUAGAAAGUGCAUCCAUUUUUCCUACAAACUUCUUCUUCUCAUAUUAAUCCAUUA